rnacentral:rRNA from 1 species
CCUACGGGGUGCAGCAGUGGGGAAUAUUGGACAAUGGGCGAAAGCCUGAUCCAGCCAUGCCGCGUGUGUGAAGAAGGCCUUCGGGUUGUAAAGCACUUUCAGUGGGGAAGAAAGCCUUGGGGCUAAUACCCUCGAGGAAGGACAUCACCCACAGAAGAAGCACCGGCUAACUCCGUGCCAGCAGCCGCGGUAAUACGGAGGGUGCGAGCGUUAAUCGGAAUUACUGGGCGUAAAGCGCGCGUAGGCGGUCUGAUAAGCCGGUUGUGAAAGCCCCGGGCUCAACCUGGGAACGGCAUCCGGAACUGUCAGGCUAGAGUGCAGGAGAGGAAGGUAGAAUUCCCGGUGUAGCGGUGAAAUGCGUAGAGAGCGGGAGGAAUACCAGUGGCGAAGGCGGCCUUCUGGACUGACACUGACGCUGAGGUGCGAAAGCGUGGGUAGCAAACAGGAUUAGAUACCCGAGUAGUC